rnacentral:rRNA from 1 species
AGUGAACGCUGGCGGUAGGCCUAACACAUGCAAGUCGAACGGCAGCACAGUAAGAGCUUGCUCUUACGGGUGGCGAGUGGCGGACGGGUGAGGAAUACAUCGGAAUCUACUUUUUCGUGGGGGAUAACGUAGGGAAACUUACGCUAAUACCGCAUACGACCUACGGGUGAAAGCAGGGGAUCUUCGGACCUUGCGCGAUUGAAUGAGCCGAUGUCGGAUUAGCUAGUUGGCGGGGUAAGGGCCACCAAGGCGACGAUCCGUAGCUGGUCUGAGAGGAUGAUCAGCCACACUGGAACUGAGACACGGUCCAGACUCCUACGGGAGGCAGCAGUGGGGAAUAUUGGACAAUGGGCGCAAGCCUGAUCCAGCCAUACCGCGUGGGUGAAGAAGGCCUUCGGGUUGUAAAGCCCUUUUGUUGGGAAAGAAAAGCAGCAGGUUAAUACCCCGCUGUUCUGACGGUACCCAAAGAAUAAGCACCGGCUAACUUCGUG